rnacentral:rRNA from 1 species
GAUGAACGCUGGCGGCGUGCUUAAUACAUGCAAGUCGAGCGGACAGACGAAGCUCUUUCUCUACUCACGUUACCGACGGAUGGGUAAGAAACACGUGGACAACCCACCUAUCUGACUUAAAUCUCUGCGGGUAACCGGAAUAACUACCGUAACAUAUCUUCACACGCAUUGUUCUGUAGUGAUUUACCGGUUUGCUGUCACUUCUCGACCUAUCCGCGCCGCAUUAGAUAGUUGGUAGGGUAACGGCUUACCAAGGGAACGAUGGGUAGCCGAGCUGGGAGAGGGAUAGGCGACAUGGGAACGGAGACAGGGUCCAGGCGCCUGCGGGAGGCAGCAGUAGGGAACCGGAGGCAAUGGGCGAAAGCCUGACGGAGCGACGCCGCGUGAGUGAUGAAGGUGUUCGGAUCGUAAAACUCUGUUAUUAGGGAAGAACAAAUGUGUAAGUAAAUAUGCACGUCUUGACGGUACCUAAUCAGAAAGCCACGGCUAACUACGUG